CAGUCGCCGCGGUAAUACGAGGGGGGCAAGCGUUGUUCGGAAUUAUUGGGCGUAAAGGGCGCGUAGGCGGUUUGGCAAGUUUCGUGUGAAAUCUUCGGGCUCAACUCGAAGUCUGCACGGAAAACUGCCGGGCUUGAGUAUGGGAGAGGAGGGUGGAAUUCCGCGUGUAGCAGUGAAAUGCGUAGAUAUGCGGAGGAACACCGAUGGCGAAGGCAGCCCCCUGGGCCAACACUGACGCUCAUGCACGAAAGCGUGGGGAGCAAACAGGAUUAGAUACCCCCGUAGUCCCUGUCUCUUAUAC
rnacentral:rRNA from 1 species